UGCANGUCGAGCGCGAAAGUUCUUCGGAAUGAGUAGAGCGGCGGACGGGUGANUAAUGCAUAGGAAUCUGCCCAGUAGUGGGGGAUAGCCCGGGGAAACCCGGAUUAAUACCGCAUACGUCCUACGGGAGAAAGCAGGGGAUCUUCGGACCUUGCGCUAUUGGAUGAGCCUAUGUCGGAUUAGCUUGUUGGUGGGGUAACGGCCCACCAAGGCGACGAUCCGUAGCUGGUCUGAGAGGAUGAUCAGCCACACUGGAACUGAGACACGGUCCAGACUCCUACGGGAGGCAGCAGUGGGGAAUAUUGCACAAUGGGGGAAACCCUGAUGCAGCCAUGCCGCGUGUGUGAAGAAGGCCUUCGGGUUGUAAAGCACUUUCAGUAGGGAGGAAGGCCCUAAAGUUAAUACCUUUAGGGAUUGACGUUACCUACAGAAGAAGCACCGGCUAACUCCGUGCCAGCAGCCGCGGUAAUACGGAGGGUGCGAGCGUUAAUCGGAAUUACUGGGCGUAAAGCGCGCGUAGGCGGUUAGUUAAGCUGGAUGUGAAAGCCCCGGGCUCAACCUGGGAACUGCAUUCAGAACUGGCUGGCUAGAGUACGAGAGAGGGUAGUGGAAUUUCCUGUGUAGCGGUGAAAUGCGUAGAUAUAGGAAGGAACAUCAGUGGCGAANGCGACUGCCUGGCUCGAUACUGACGCUGANGUGCGAAAGCGUGGGGAGCAAACAGGANUANAUACCCUGGUAGUCCACGCCGUAAACGAUGUCUACUANUCGUANGGUUCCUUGAGNACUUUGUGACGCANCUAACGCAAUAANUA
rnacentral:rRNA from 1 species